AGGCAGUUGGCAAAGCUCAAAAUAGCCAUCUUAGGAUUGACCUUUGGCCCUCUGUGCUCAGGCAAAGUAACACAAAACAGAAGAGGCAGCCAAGGGCUUGAGGUCCAGACUCUGGGUCACAUGUUCUCACUUCCAGCUCAAGCACCAUAGACACUGCUAGGGAGCAGAAUGGAAGAGAAACUCCUUCACCCAACUGAAGGGAGAGCCCAUGGAGCCCCCAUUAAGGUGUUCAAAAGACAGGAAGAGAGGCAGCGUUGCUCUUUCCCAGAUGGUAGCUCAUCACCUUCAAUAUCUUUCUACCAUGAAAGGCAGCAGUAAAGGAGGGCUGUAGCACCCCAAACCAAAGGACCAGGGAGCACAUAUGGCUUGCCACAAAAGUGUACAAAGAACUGGGAACAAGAUGUCGACCCUGACCUCAAGGACUUAAUUAUCUAACAAGGAAUUUGAAGAAGGGAUGAAAGAAGCAACCACUAGAACAAAACAAAACAAUACAGAAGAGGGCACAAAACAAAUGACACAGCAGGAAGAGGCAGUGAACACACAUCAGGAUCCAGAAAGACCUUGCCAGGCUGGACUCUUUAGAAGGUCUCCACCAAUGAGCCUCCAUCAAAGACUGAAUGGGGACCUUUGUUCAACGUUCCUGUAAAAGGGGGUUCCACGUUUCGUCGGAGCCCCCUGAGGUGGCAAGAUUGCUCAGACACCGUGAAAGGUCUGGAGAGGUAGGCUGGAUGCUCACCAAGGAGUCUGGAGGGGACUCUACUACCAUCGGGGAGUCACGCCAGCCCCACCAUCCCGCAUCCCUGUGCACGGCAUUCUCUCAGCCCCUAGGCACGGAGAUGAUGCCCAGGGAAGGCGUUCGCAUCCGCACCGGGCUUUGGGACUCCAGAGCGGCUCUCUCCUUAUCCCCUAUCCGCUCUGCUCCAUCCUGAGUGAGAAGCCCCUCACCGCAGGAGGGAGACCCCCGGCACCUCCCAGAGCAGUGACCUCUGCCCCCCACAAGGGCUGCUUCUUUGUACUUUCCCUUCCACAGACUGAGUCCUCUCCUUUACUUUUCCUCCCAUCCCCAGUAACUGCCCAUUCAGUAUCUACAGUGGUUCUAGAGAUCAUCUCCAACUGGUUGGAAGAAAUGUUCAGGUCCGGAGGAUUUGAAGCUAGUCCCCCCUCCCCCCAGCAAGGCACCUUACCUCUACUCGAUCAUCUAUAAAUAUUACCCAUGUUUUAUUGUA